rnacentral:rRNA from 1 species
GACGAACGCUGGCGGCGUGCUUAACACAUGCAAGUCGAACGAUGAAGCUGGAGCUUGCUCUGGUGGAUUAGUGGCGAACGGGUGAGUAACACGUGAGUAACCUGCCCUGGACUCUGGGAUAACCCCGAGAAAUCGGAGCUAAUACCGGAUAGGACCUUGCACCGCAUGGUGUGGGGUGGAAAGUUUUUCGGUCUGGGAUGGACUCGGGGCCUAUCAGCUUGUUGGUGAGGUAAUGGCUAACCAAGGCGUCGACGGGUAGCCGGCCUGAGAGGGUGACCGGCCACACUGGGACUGAGACACGGCCCAGACUCCUACGGGAGGCAGCAGUGGGGAAUAUUGCACAAUGGGCGCAAGCCUGAUGCAGCAACGCCGCGUGCGGGAUGACGGCCUUCGGGUUGUAAACCGCUUUUAGUAAGGAAGAAGGGGCUUCGGCCUUGACGGUACUUGCAGAAAAGGACCGGCUAACUACGUGCCAGCCGCCGCCGUAAAAC